CGCCGCUCAGAAACUUAAAGAAUUGACGGACCCCGCACAAGCGGUGGAUCAUGUUGUUUAAUUCGAUGAUACGCGAAGAACCUUACCAGGUCUUGACAUCCCCCGCGAUGCUUUAGAGAUAAAGCGGAGGUAUUCGGGGAGACAGGUGGUGCAUGGUUGUCGUCAGCUCGUGUCGUGAGAUGUUGGGUUAAGUCCCGCAACGAGCGCAACCCCUAUUGCUAGUUACCAUCAUUAAGUUGGGGACUCUAGCGAGACUGCCAGUGAUAAACUGGAGGAAGGUGGGGAUGACGUCAAAUCAUCAUGCCCCUUAUGACCUGGGCUACAAACGUGAUACAAUGGCUGGAACAAAGGGAUGCGAAGCAGUGAUGUGGAGCGAAACCCAUAAAAAUAGUCUCAGUUCGGAUUGAAGUCUGCAACUCGACUUCAUGAAGUCGGAAUCGCUAGUAAUCGCGGAUCAGAACGCCGCGGUGAAUACGUUCUCGGGGUUU
rnacentral:rRNA from 1 species